rnacentral:sRNA from 1 species
UCCUCGUUAGGUGAGGCUCCUAUAUAAACAUAGGCCACUGCCCGGAAAUGUCGAGAGACGCCAAUGGGUAGAACAGAUAUUAUCAACAUAAGGUUUUACUUAAAAUGGCAGAGUUUUAACUUUACUCUACGCUAAACUCAAACGAGUGGUG